rnacentral:lncRNA from 1 species
ACAUCUUCCGCCUCUUGCGAUCUUUCCAUUUUCAUCUUUGUCUCCCAGGUGCUCCCUUUCGAAUGUCGCUUGUGCUUUACUCGUCUUCGUCUUUUCCUCUGGGUAUGUAUACAUCUUGUAUCUCUCCAUUUAUGUGCUUCCUUGCUCUUAUUGAAGCAUGCCUUACUGAUGGGUAGUUCUUCUUCCUUCAUUACUGAUUGACUCUUCUCUUGAUCCUGAUCAGGAUGUAAAUUGACGUUCCUCGUAUCGUGGAGUGCGUAGUGGUCGCCAUCCAGACGCAACUCAGUUCCAGGUUGUUUCUUGUCCUCUGCUCUUUUUUCCUUUUCUUUUUUUAUGUUCUGACUCCUCCUUCUUUUGUGUCAGCUGAUAUUGUGUUGCAUAUUCAUAUCUGUUUGGAUCCUGCGUUGACUCUUAUUGAUGAUGUUGUACCCCUGUUCUUUUGGCGAAAACUUUUUUGUGCUGAUAUAGAUUAGCA